UCCCUGGUGGCUCAGAUGGUAAAGCGUCUGCCUGCUAUGAGGAGACCCAGGUUCAAUCCCUGGGCCGGGAA
rnacentral:tRNA from 1 species